rnacentral:rRNA from 1 species
GAUGAACGCUGGCGGCGGGCUUAACACAUGCAAGUCGAACGGAAAGGCGCCUGCUUGCAGGGGUACUCGAGUGGCGAACGGGUGAGUAACACGUGGGCGAUCUGCCCUGCACUUCGGGAUAAGCCUGGGAAACUGGGUCUAAUACCGGAUACGACGAUGGUUUGGAUGCCAUUGUGGAAAGUUUUUUCGGUGUGGGAUGAGCUCGCGGCCUAUCAGCUUGUUUGUGGGGUAGUCGCCUACCAAGGCGUCGACGGGUAGCCGGCCUGAGAGGGUGUACGGCCACCUUAGCACUGUGCUACGGCCCGGAGUCCUACGGGAUGCAGCACUGUGGAAUAGUGCCUGAUCCACGCAAGCCUGAUGCAGCAACGCCGUGUGGUGGAUGGCAGCCUUCGGGUUGUCGGCUCCUUUCGCUGGCGCCGAUGCGCCAGUGACGGUACCUGAUGAAGAAGCACCGGCUAACUCCGUG